GCCUCCCUGUCAUGUUCGUGUAAGAAUUUUGUUUUUUGAGCCAAUGUUUUGAAAAUGGGGAUGACUUUCUAUCACGGUGUGCAAGCCUUCAUUACGAUGCAAGAUCGAAGGAAGCCUAAAGUGGUAUACAGAUUCCCCACCUGUCCUUGACAGGUUCAAAAAAAACAUUUUU
rnacentral:other from 1 species